GGAACACCGAUGGCGAAGGCAAUCCCCUGGACCUGUACUGACGCUCAUGCACGAAAGCGUGGGGAGCAAACAGGAUUAGAUACCCUGGUAGUCCACGCCCUAAACGAUGUCAACUGGUUGUUGGGAAUUAGUUUUCUCAGUGCCGUAGCUAACGCGUUAAGUAUCCCGCCUGGGGAGUACGCACGCAAGUGUGAAACUCAAAGGAAUUGAC
rnacentral:rRNA from 1 species